GUCCAUGGCCAUACCUCCUUGAAUGCACUGAAACUUGUCUGAUCUCAGAAGCUAAGCAGGGUCGGGCCUGGUUAGUAAUUAGGCAUGACAAAGUUAGCACCGUGUUGUUGACA
rnacentral:rRNA from 1 species